CGGGGCAUGGUGUAAUGGCUAACAUACGCGCAUGGGGUGCGUGUGAUUCUGGGUUCGAGUCCCAGUGCCCCGACCA
rnacentral:tRNA from 1 species